GUCCAGGUGGCGAAAUUGGUAGACGCGCUACCUUGAGGGGGUAGUGGGAGCAAUCCCGUGGUGGUUCAAAUCCACUCCUGGACA
rnacentral:tRNA from 1 species